AGGUCUGACUGACAGGAAAGGACCCAGAUAAGAUCCUGGAGGCAAUGGGAUGUGUGGCUGCUCAACACAGACCGACCACACUUGCUCACUGCCAUGUCAUCUCAUACCCUUCCACCCUGGACAUACAUAUCUUCUCACAUGCACCAAGACUCUGUGCAUGGAGAGAAUCCCCAAACCAACAGAAAAAUGAUUGACACAGAAGCCAAGUGCCAGCACUGCGUAUAAGUAACACUACCACCAUCCACAGUGAAGUUAAAAGGAGUUUGAGUAAAUUCUUAGAUCCAUCUUCAUACUUCCACUUCCUCAGACAGCCGGGAGAGCCACCUUUCAGAAGCUUUUUUCAUCUGAUCCUCAUGUCCUUUCAAAGGGAUGAUCACAAGUUUUGAGAACAAAUUUAGGAGUUUGAAGAAAAUGAGAGUAAAUCAUGGAGAGUAGAAGACAUUCCAAAGUGGUAAAUGUAGGCUGAAAAUGUAGCAUCUGAACCUGGGAGGCUCUGAUCAUCUACUAUAAACGUGGACCUACUAACUGCAAUGAAGUAUCACAGGACUGUCUGAUAGAUGAGAUCAGCAGGCCUUCAAGGUGAUCAACUGCAAUGCACCAGGAAUAAAAAC
rnacentral:lncRNA from 1 species